AUCACCUGGGAUCUUGUUAAAUUUCAGAUUCCAGUUCUGUAGAUUGGAAUGAGGUCUGAGAUUCUGCAUUUUUAACAAGCUCUCGGGUGAUGC
rnacentral:miRNA from 1 species